rnacentral:rRNA from 1 species
CGCCUUGCCAGCCCGCUCAGAACUCAAAGGAAUUGACGGGGGCCCGGCACAAGCGGUGGAGUAUGUGGUUUAAUUCGAUGCAACGCGAAGAACCUUACCUGGUCUUGACAUCCCGGAGACCCUUAGGAAACUAGGGGGUGCUUCCAUCUGGAAGAAUCUGGAGACAGGUGCUGCAUGGCUGUCGUCAGCUCGUGUCGUGAGAUGUUGGGUUAAGUCCCGCAACGAGCGCAACCCUUGCCUUUAGUUGCCAGCAGUUCGGCUGGGCACUCUAAAGGGACUGCCGGUGUUAAACCGGAGGAAGGUGGGGAUGACGUCAAGUCCUCAUGGCCUUUAUGACCAGGGCUACACACGUACUACAAUGGCCGAUACAAAGGGCAGCGACACUGCGAGGUGAAGCCAAUCCCGUAAAAUCGGUCUCAGUCCGGAUUGGAGUCUGCAACUCGACUCCAUGAAGUUGGAAUCGCUAGUAAUCGUGGAUCAGCAUGCCACGGUGAAUACGUUCCCGGGCCUU